rnacentral:lncRNA from 1 species
AUAAUUUAGACAGAGCUUAGAGGGAAGAAAGAGGUUGACCAGAUGUAUAGAUGAUUGCUUGUGGCUGGAAGAGAAAUGAAGUGAGCAAGAAUUGCUGGAACAGUAUGAAGGGCCCACCAGAUGACCUCACCAUCUCCAUCAGCGUUUUCAAGGGUUUCUCCAUGUAUCCCUGACUGACCUGGAACUCAACUCUGUAGACCAAUGUGGCCUUGAGCUCAGACAUCCACCUGCCUCUGGAGUACUGGAUUAAAGUGACCGAUCGCUGCUUGGAUUUUAAAGGUUGUCAUCAAUUCAGUCUCAUCUUGGCAUGUUCCUACAUUGACGUGGUUUUAUCAAAGAUCCUCUCAUUGCCGUGGGAAUCGAAGGAAUAUAUAAGCAAACUGCUGUAAAAACAGUAGCUCCUGCAGCUGGCACCAAGAGAAGUCCAAGGUAUUUGCCCUUCAUUUGUUGUCCACAUGUAGCAUCCUGUCAAGUCACAGUGGACCUUUAGGCUGACAUUGACCCUGUUAUCUACAGUGCUACUAAAGAGCUGCGUUUCUGUAGAGUUCGUUUCCUGAGAAAGCUGAAGAGAAAACGGACCUAGCUUGCUGGGUGUCAGAAGACAAUAUCUGAAUGGGAAAAGAUGGACGGCAAAUAAAUUGAUCAAUAAGAAGAUUAAUAAUAAAGUGCCUGCAGACAAUUGAUUUUGGGUGAUAUAAUGAGCGGUAUCCAGGAUUCUUUGUGUAGCUAAAAAAAAAAAAUGCCUGAAGUAGUUUGAUGAGAGCGUGAGGUGGUGCAGACAUGCGUGCUGGAGGUCGGUAGAGUUCCUGCCUGACAGAGUCAACCUGACCUAGAGGGACGAUUCCUGAAGGGCCAUGAGACGACCGGGGGACACUCUGGAACCAGGCACUUUGGAAACAGGAACAGCGUGCGUCAAGGAAGCUGCACUGGGAAGCUUCUCACCCAUCAGGCUAUUUGGUGAGAAGAUUUGGCAGGGACAGGGGAAAAAUACAGACUAAUUUUGUCACUUGCUGAGGUAGAAGGGAUAUUGGGCAGUAACGCCUCCUACUCUGUACAUGUGCAUAUGGAGUCAUAAUCUUUAUUAUUAUUAUUAUUAUUAUUAUUAUUAUUAUUAUUAUCAUCAUUAUCAUCUGCAUGAGUCAGACUGGAGCUAGAUCUCAUUAAAGAGUCCCCAGGGAGUCUGAAGAGGAACUGAGGCAGACUCAUACCAACUCAAGCAUCCUCAUCAGUAGUUAAGGACUUACCCAGAGUCUGGUGCAUUGAACCUCCACUGAAAAGGCUCAGUCUCAAGGAUCAGCGUUGUAUCUGAGACCCUAGCAUCAGCCUAUGACCCCCGGUGUGCUGGUGCACACCUUUAACCCCAGCACUGCCAAGGCAGGUGGGUCUCUGUGAGUUCUAGGCCUAGUCUACAUAGUGAGCUCCAGGCCAGCUAGAACCACGUUGUGAGAUUCCGUCAGAACAAAAACCUCGGUGGUCAAGACUUCAGCCGAGAGGGCUCAAUGGACAUAAAAACAGAAAGAGUGGAUAGUGCUUGAUUAGAAGUUUCCCUGGUGUUAACAUGCAUACGUAUGGUCCUAUCAUUACAAAGUCCCUGUUUCUUCAUCUUUAAAUGUUUCAGACAGUGAACAUUUAGAUUCAUUUUCUCUCUGUUACCAAUAAAACCAAACCUAUUUUCAAAGUU